GCCCUACUGGCGCAAUGGUAGCGCGUUAGACUUCUAUUCCUAAUAAGUAAUCUAAAGGUUGCGAGUUCGAGCCUCGCGUGGGGUU